ACACAAUUGAGCACAUCCGGUAACAAAAUGCCGAUAGAAAAUUUAGAAGAAGAAGGACUUGAGAAAAACCCUAACUUUGAACACGCUCAAUGGAAAUUUCUUUUAGAAACUGACAAAUACAAAAAUGACGUUGAAAUUAAAAAGAAGCUUUUGGCCGCUGUGGAGGCAAACUGUAAGUAGAACAAUGAAACAAGUGAGUAGUACCCCGUUCAAAACUCAUGUGUCAUUGUUCAGCAAUUACAUUAUUGCGUAUUCGUUAGGUCUUUCUUCAAAUAUUUCAGUGUACAUUUUGAUUUUGAAUUAAGAAUUUUAAACGUUGUGAUGUCGUUUAUACUGAUAGACGAGAUUUUGCAACACAGAUUGUUCGUGAUUGAUCAUUUUUGAAGCAGCAGAGCUAUAUACCACGGUACAUGUAUAUAUAGUCCUAAAAAUCUGACGUUUUCGUGGCUUUAUUAACGAUUCAGAUAUUUUACCUGCCAGGAAAACGUCCAAACUGGCGCUAUUACGAAAAAUGGAAAGCGGCAUUGGACAUUUUCAGCUCAGUUUUAAUAAAAUAUAUCUUAAAACUUACCAAUAUAUUGCUAAAAAUAAAAUUCUACUCCAUAUUUUGAUAAUCAUACUGGUGCACAUUUGUUGUAAACCUUUCAAAAUUGCAUGAAUUCAAAACAAAUUUUGUCAGUUCAGUAAGAUGUGUUCAACAGUCUGUUUAUCGUUGCUUUUUUAAAUAGUUGUGUGUUUGACAUUUGAUCAGACUUGCAAAUUAAAAUGCCACCUUUAGUUGGAGGCGACAAAUUUCAAGGAUUCGUAAUGGUGCCAGUUCGACAUUUUCCUGGUAUGUAAAAUAUCAAAAUUGCUUAAAAAAGCCAGGAAAAUGGACUAGUCUGUCCCAUGACAUUUAUGCAGCAUAUUUGGGUGAAUUUUAAUAAAUUAAUGAUUUGAAAUUAGAUAUCCAUAAAUUUUAAAUUAUUGAAAGUUUCACUAGAUAACUUUCAUAAUGUCUGUGUUAAACCAUAUUCAUUAUAGUUAAUUCUUUUUUUAAAGGUAUGGCUCCAUUUUAUGAAGAACUUUGUAAAGAUUUAAAAUGGAAAUGUGAUGAAAAUCUACUAAAGAAAAUGAAAGCAGCUAAUGAGGCAGAAUUGAAGAAGCUUGAUGUCUCCAUAGAAGAUGCAGAAAAAAAUCUAGGAGAGACCGAAGUUAGGGAAUUCAUGCUAAAAAAGGCGGAAUAUCUGUGCAAGAUUGGAGACAAGGAGGCCUCACUAACCCAGUUUCGGAAGACCCAGGAGAAGACGGUGACCCUGGGGUACAGAUUGGACCUGGUGUUUCACCUGAUCAGGAUGGGGCUGUAUUACAUGGACCAUGACCUCAUCACCAGAAACCUGGAGAAGGCACAAAGUCUGAUUGAUGAGGGUGGAGACUGGGAUCGCAGGAACCGCCUAAAGGUCUACCGUGGUGUCUACUGUAUGUCCAUCCGAGACUUUAAGCAGGCUGCGACCUUGUUUCUGGACACCGUGGCGACCUUCACCUCGUAUGAACUGAUGGACUAUCAGACGUUUGUUACUUACACAGUGAUAUGCAGCAUGAUUGCUUUAGAAAGACCAGAACUCAGGGAAAAGGUUGUGAAAGGCUCAGAAAUUCUAGAAGUGCUUCACAGUCUACCCAAAAUCCGAUCCUUCCUGUUCGCUCUCUAUGACUGCCAUUACUCUGAUUUCUUCAGAUACUUAGCCCAGGUGGAGGACAUGCUGAAGUUUGAUCGUUUCCUGUCCCCCCACUACCGUUACUUCACCCGCGAGAUGAGGAUCAUCGCCUACACUCAGCUUCUCGAGUCCUACAGGAGUCUCACACUGGACUACAUGGCUAACUCAUUUGGGGUCACCAAUGAGUUCAUUGACCAGGAGUUGGCUAGAUUUAUAGCAGCAGGGAGACUUCAUUGUAAGAUAGACAAAGUUAAAGGCAUCGUAGAAACCAAUAGGCCAGACAACAAAAAUUGGCAAUAUCAGGCCACAAUCAAACAAGGAGACAUUUUACUAAAUCGAGUCCAGAAGCUGAGUAGAGUGAUCAACAUAUAGAUCUGUUAUCCAGGGAUGUCGGGGGGUGUCGUGAUACUGUGUCCGAUCUGGUCUGUGUCAGGGACCGUAACUCUGUGUGACUCUGUCAGUGCUUGUUUCAUUAUUACCUGUUCAUGCUGUUGUCAUCUCUGUCCAUACAGUGGACAUUUGGAGUAAAUGCUUCGUAAAGAUUUAAUGAAAAACAAAAUAAAAAUAUCAAAUGAUU
rnacentral:misc_RNA from 1 species